ACUGAGCGGCGGACGGGUGAGUAACGCGUGGGUAACCUGCCUCAUACAGGGGGAUAACAGUUGGAAACGGCUGCUAAUACCGCAUAAGCGCACAGUACCGCAUGGUACGGUGUGAAAAACUCCGGUGGUAUGAGAUGGACCCGCGUUUGAUUAGGUAGUUGGUGGGGUAACGGCCUACCAAGCCGACGAUCAGUAGCCGACCUGAGAGGGUGACCGGCCACAUUGGGACUGAGACACGGCCCAA
rnacentral:rRNA from 1 species